rnacentral:rRNA from 1 species
UGGGGAAUUUUGGACAAUGGGGGAAACCCUGAUCCAGCCAUCCCGCGUGUGCGAUGAAGGCCUUCGGGUUGUAAAGCACUUUUGGCAGGAAAGAAACGUCAUGGGUUAAUACCCCGUGAAACUGACGGUACCUGCAGAAUAAGCACCGGCUAACUACGUGCCAGCAGCCGCGGUAAUACGUAGGGUGCAAGCGUUAAUCGGAAUUACUGGGCGUAAAGCGUGCGCAGGCGGUUCGGAAAGAAAGAUGUGAAAUCCCAGAGCUCAACUUUGGAGCUGCAUUUUUAACUACCGGGCUAGAGUGUGUCAGAGGGAGGUGGAAUUCCGCGUGUAGCAGUGAAAUGCGUAGAUAUGCGGAGGAACACCGAUGGCGAAGGCAGCCUCCUGGGAUAACACUGACGCUCAUGCACGAAAGCGUGGGGAGCAAACAGG